rnacentral:pre_miRNA from 1 species
AGUGGAAUUGCUGGAUAAUAUGGUAAUUCUACAUUUAAUUUUUUGAGGAAUUGUCAUACUCUUUUCCAUAGCAGCUACACCAUUUUAUAUUCCCACCAACUGU